AUUGAACGCUGGCGGCAGGCCUAACACAUGCAAGUCGAGCGGAGCGGCGGACGGGUGAGUAAUGCCUAGGAAUCUGCCUGGUAGUGGGGGAUCACGUCCGGAAACGGGCGCUAAUACCGCAUACUAUCAGAUGAGCCAAGGUCGGAUUAGCUAGUAUGUGGGGUAAAGGCUCACCUAGGCGACGCUCCCUAGCUGGUCUGAGAGGAUGACCAGCCACACUGGAACUGAGACACGGUCCAGACUCAUACGGGAGGCAGCAGAGGGGAAUAUUGUACAAUGGGCGAAAGCCUGAUGCAGCCAUGCCGCGUGUAUGAAGAAGGCCUUCGGGUUGUAAAGUACUUUCAGCGGGGAGGAGUUACCCGCAGAAGAAGCACCGGCUAACUCCGUGCCAGCAGCCGCGGUAAUAC
rnacentral:rRNA from 1 species